AAAGAAAAGAAAAAAAAAGAAAAAAAAAGAAAAAGAAAAAAGCUGCACCCACUGAUAUUCAUCAACACUUGCUAAACAUUUAUGGAGCUCAAACCAUGAAUGCAAAUACAGCGAGGCAGUGAGAGGCACUUUUCAGCUAUGGUAACUGUGAGUCACCUUCAAUGGUACUAAUUUUUAAAAGGACUACGUGCAGGCUAGUGAAAAUACGAAGUACAUGGUGGAGACUGUGUUGAAAAAAUAGUGUUCCAAUAGCUAUUUUGUGGCUAAGAAUGUGUUCUUUCAAAUAGCGUUAUUAUGCUCUUUUAUCUAUUGCAGUUUCCACAGAAGUAAGUAUGAGGCAUUACUUUCGGAGCAACCUAUAUAUUUUCCUAGCCCUUGCACCCAAGUUCCCCCUGUCCCUUCAUCAAAUAUUUCUCUCCAUGCAGAGCCUUGGCUUUAAAAAAAUAGUUUAAGUUUGUUUAGAAAAAUGAGAAUCAGAACCUGAGGGCAUACAGCUUGGCACUCAUACAUAGACAAGUGUUGAUUAUGUUUUAGGACAAAACCAAGUUUUAAUGAAGCACAAUGUGACAUUUAAAUCCCCUUUGUAGAGGUAGAAACCCAGUGUUUUAACCUAAUCCAUCCAGAUAUGAAAUACUGAUACCAGAUAUUGAUUUAUUGCUAUUAGUGAUAACCGAAUUUGAGAGCUUAUAAUGUGAACAAGGUAGCGUAAAUACAGUUGUGAUCUCCAAUUCAGAGUAAGACAUCCACAUCUGUAAUAAGACAAUAGCAGAUUCUAACAAGAAUCUACUGCUUCUUGUAAACAUUGUAUUUGUGCAGAUUCUUUUAUCAUACUUUGAUUUCUAACGUUAUGAAAGGCAAGGUUAGUAGCAGAAAACACAUCCAGUUUCACAUUCAGCAAUAUGAGAACCCUGCUCUUCAAGGACAACCAAAAACCUAGCAGCACAUUUUUCAAACAAUAUUACAAGUUUUUCUGAAUUUCCCACCCCCCCACUCAACCCACCCCCCAACAAAAAACAACAACAAAUCUGACACCAAAAAUAAAGUGCAGUACCCAGAAAAAUAAGUGUCAAGAAAAUAGCCAUGUUCUUUCCUUUGUUAAGAAAAAAAAAAAGGUACUUGGCCUCAGUCUUAACAAUGCUAUACUGUGUCCAUCAUUUUGGAUUCUUCUUCAUCUCUUUGUAUCACAGAGUUUAAACUGCAGACAUUUGUAUUUAUGGAACCUUGUAGAUCACCUGUGUUCUGCAACAGAUGAAAAAUCGACAGCUUAAUUCUCCACAACCGCAGGGAGAAAGGAGAACUUCUAGCUUGAAGAGAGACUCUUCAUAUUGCCUACCUUAAGAUGAGACAAACAUGCAAUACUAAUAAAAUAAGCUUACAAAAAUUCAUUACCCAAUACUACUGCACUGUGUUAAAGUGCCUUUUUUCUUUUUUUUAAAUUUAAGUUAGCACAGAUUGUGUUUGGUGUAUUUCUAGCACUGUAGACUGUACAUUAACUAGAAUUUAACUAUGGAGCUUGUCUGAAAAGUACUUUAAUCAAAUUAAAACUAAAGCUAAGUAGUUUCAACUAUAUCUCCUUCUCUAAUAUCUGAUUUUCGAAGAUCUUUUCAGUUGCUUCUUCAUUCCAGGAUAUGGCCAUCACUAGUAGUCUAACAAAACAUGUAAGCAACCUUAAGCUUUCUUCUGUGACAACAGGCGAUCUUCAGGCUUCACUUAGCUGAAGGAUCCUAUGAAUUGCAUUGAUUAUUUUAACCUAAAAGCCUCUUCCCCUGCUUGUGGUAAGAAUCACAGGAUCACCAAGAUUGGAAAAGACCUCCAAGAUCAUCUAGUCCAGCCAUCCACCUACCACCAACACUUCUCCACUUCUUCUAAUGCCCAACCUGAACCUACCCUGGUGCAACUUGAGGCCAUUGCCUCUAGUCCUAUAGUUACGCAGAAGAAGAGGCUGACCUCCACCUAGCCACAACCUCCUUUCAUAUAGUUGUAGAGAGCUAUAAGGUCUCCCCUGAUCCUCCUCCAGACAAGUUCUAACAGGUGAAAAGAGUAUAUAUAUGCCUUGUAUAUUGAUAAUACUGGAAGUUAUAUCUUGAGUGCUCUAUUCUAGGAAUAAUUCUCUUUAAUUGCAGAAAGGUACAACUUCUCAACAUAGGAAUUAAUCCCAAUUUGGUUAAGUUCAUUUCUAGAAGUAAUAAACUUACCUGUGACAAAGAUGUCAGCUGUUCUACAAGACUAGGAUUGAUAGUGGGAUUAUAUAGUAAGAUAGCCUGAAAGCUAUCUGAUUGCGACCAGAUUCUUACUCUUGUCUUGAAUGCCUCAAGUUCACUUUUAAAUGCCUCAAAAUAGCCUUCUCCUGUCUGCAAAAAGAAAAAAUGAAGUAUCCUCAUUUCAAACAGAUUAUCUUAUGAAUUGCAAACCUUUUGUUUACUGAAAAAGUAAUGAAUGUCAGCCAAAAAAAAAAAAAAAAAUCAUAUCUAAAUUUUCACUAAGACUAACUGUAGCACUUAAACACAAAAGCAAAGUCAUUUAUUCAUCUAAAGACGUGUAAAAAGAAAUCUCAUUUUAGCCCUUCUUUUAUUAACUUGAGAGAAAUGUGGCCUGUUCUAAAAUUCUGGCCAAGAGAAAUGCACAAGUUGACUCAGUCUGCAGAACUUCUUAAAGGAUUUGACUGAGCUCCUAUUAAUGUGGUAUUAAGACCCAUCAGACAUGAAUAACUGAAUACAGUCAACAGCAAACCAGUUUGAGUCUUUCUACAUUUCUUCUGCAUUUUUAAGAUAGGAAUUACAGCAAAAUAUCUAUGAAGAACUACUAAUAAAACACGUCCCCAUACUACUAAGUGAAUAAAAUACUUAGCAUCUUGCAGCUAGGAAAAAAACUACUCUAAAAUACUGGUUCCUUGUAAAAUGUUAAGAGUUUCUACUAUCAUUAUACAGUCACUUACUUUGGCUUUUUGGAAAAAUAGACGAAAACAGCCUCUUGGAUCCACAUUGCAGUUUUUGGCAAUUUCAAUAAUAAACUGCAUUACUACU